rnacentral:rRNA from 1 species
GACGAACGCUGGCGGCGUGCUUAACACAUGCAAGUCGAACGGAAAGGCCCUGCUUGCAGGGUACUCGAGUGGCGAACGGGUGAGUAACACGUGGGUGAUCUGCCCUGCACUUCGUGAUAAGCCUGGGAAACUGGGUCUCAUACCGGAUAUGAGCCAUUUUUAUUGUUAUGGUUGGAAAGUUUUUUCGGUGUAGGAUGAGCUCGCGGCCUAUCAGCUUGUUGGUGGGGUAAUGGGCUACCAAGGCGGCGACGGGUAGCCGGCCUGAGAGGGUGGACGGCCAAAUUGGGGAUGGGGAACGGCCCAGACUCCUACGGGGGGCAGGAGGGGGGAAUAAUGCAAAAUGGGGGCAAGCCUGAUGCAGCGACGCCGCGUGGGGGAUGAAGGCCUUCGGGGUGGAAAAUCCUUUCGCUAGGGAAGAAGCUGUUUGUGACGGUACCUAGAUAAGAAGCACCGGCUAACUACGUG